rnacentral:rRNA from 1 species
GACGAACGCUGGCGGCGUGCUUAACACAUGCAAGUCGAACGGAAAGGCCCUGCUUUUGCGGGGUGCUCGAGUGGCGAACGGGUGAGUAACACGUGAGUAACCUGCCCUUGACUUUGGGAGAACUUCAGGAAACUGGGGCUAAUACCGGAUAGGAGCUCCUGCUGCAUGGUGGGGGUUGGAAAGUUUCGGCGGUUGGGGAUGGACUCGCGGCUUAUCAGCUUGUUGGUGGGGUAGUGGCUUACCAAGGCUUUGACGGGUAGCCGGCCUGGGAGGUUGACCGGCCACCUUGGGCCUGAGAUACGGCCCAGACUCCUACGGGAGGCAGCAGGGGGGAAUAUUGCGCAAUGGGCGGAAGCCAGAGGCAGCAGCGCCGCGUGCGUGAUGACGGCCUACGGGUGGUAAACCGCUGUCGCCGGUGACGAAGCGUGAGUGACGGUAAUGGGUAAAAAAGCACCGGCUAACUACGUG